rnacentral:rRNA from 4 species
UGGGGAAUAUUGCACAAUGGGCGCAAGCCUGAUGCAGCGACGCCGCGUGAGGGAUGACGGCCUUCGGGUUGUAAACCUCUUUCAGUAGGGAAGAAGCGAAAGUGACGGUACCUGCAGAAGAAGCGCCGGCUAACUACGUGCCAGCAGCCGCGGUAAUACGUAGGGCGCAAGCGUUAUCCGGAAUUAUUGGGCGUAAAGAGCUCGUAGGCGGUUUGUCGCGUCUGCCGUGAAAGUCCGGGGCUCAACUCCGGAUCUGCGGUGGGUACGGGCAGACUAGAGUGAUGUAGGGGAGACUGGAAUUCCUGGUGUAGCGGUGAAAUGCGCAGAUAUCAGGAGGAACACCGAUGGCGAAGGCAGGUCUCUGGGCAUUAACUGACGCUGAGGAGCGAAAGCAUGGGGAGCGAACAGG